rnacentral:tmRNA from 1 species
GGGGCUGAUCGGUUUCGACGGUGACCUGUUCGUCGCAGGGAAGCGUGCCGAGAACGCAGGGUCCGCUCGCGGAUGCCCCCUGCAAAAGAAUAAGUGCUAAAUCUAACCGCACUGAGUUCGCUCUCGCUGCCUGAGCUUCGCGCCAGGAUUAACCAGUGAGCAGCUGCUCCGUCCACUCCUCUUCGUCUUCGGGAGGGUGUUGGGCGUCGUUAAGAAGACUUGCCUUACCAGUUGAGCCGCAGGGCCGGUAGGGGACUUUAACUGUGGAUAUGCUCGCCAACGGUUGUCUGCGACAAAGUUGGGGGCAGAAAAAUCGCCGUCUUGGCCAGCAGACUACGCACGUAGAAGACUGAGGGUACGGUCAUCGGACCGGGGUUCAAUUCCCCGCAGCUCCAC